AAGUCGAACGAGGUUUUCGGACCUAGUGGCGCACGGGUGAGUAACAUGUGGGAAUCUACCUAGAGGUUCGGAAUAACUGCGGGAAACUGCAGCUAAUACCGGAUGUGUCUGCAAAGAGAAAGAUUUAUCGCCUUUAGAUGAGCCCGCACUAGAUUAGUUUGUUGGCGAGGUAAUUGCUCCACCAAGACUACGAUCUAUAGCUGAUUUGAGAGGAUGAUCAGCCACACUGGGACUGAGACACGGCCCAGACUCCUACGGGAGGCAGCAGUAGGGAAUAUUGGACAAUGGGGGAAACCCUGAUCCAGCAAUGCCGCGUGAGUGAAGAAGGCCUUCGGGUUGUAAAACUCUUUCAUCAAUGAUGAUAAUGACAUUAGUUGAAGAAGAAGCUCCGGCUAACUUCGUGCCAGCAGCCGCGGUAAUACGAAGGGGGCUAGCGUUGUUCGGAAUCACUGGGCGUAAAGCGUAUGUAGGCGGAUCAAAAAGUUAGAUGUGAAAUCCCUGAGCUCAACUCAGGAACUGCAUUUAAAACUAGUGAUCCAGAAUUUGGUAAGGGUUAGUAGAAUUUCCAGUGUAGAGGUGAAAUUCGUAGAUAUUGGAAAGAAUACCAGAAGCGAAGGCGACUAACUAGGGCAUUUUUGACCGCUGAGAUACGAAAGCGUGGGUAGCAAA
rnacentral:rRNA from 1 species